CGGCACAAACAUCAUCUAUUUUCUCUCGUACCGUUAAAAAUGAAUCCCUCACUUUACUUCGCUUUCUUCCUCGUCGUCCUCCCACACUUUUGUCUUACUCAAAAUGACAGCCCCGCCAUAUAUUUCAACCAAACUCUGACCCCUGGUGUAUUCUCCGACUCAAAAUCGAAUCCCAACCAAGCCUGCGAUCCUGGCGACUACCUCUGUGCCGAUUUGUCUGGUUGCUGUGUCCGUGGAUCGAUCUGUUGUGGGAACUGGUGCUGCAUAAAUGGCGCCAGCUGUUAUGGCGGUACCUGCCGUGUCGUGGAAUCCUGCCCUCCAGGAUACUUUGACUGCCACAACGACUACUGCUGCCAGACUGGGUCGAAAUGCUGUGGGUCGAAAUGCUGCAUCAAUGGCGCCGUAUGCACGGGUGGGACCUGCAUCAGGAACUCCCCUGGCUCCGCGUCACUCAAUUCUGCCAUGACGGGUUUGAUUCUUGCGAUCCUGGUCGCCAUAUCGGUCCUGAAUUCGUGAAGUUUGGCAAAUACCAGAUGAAACGCAAGCAGCAUAACAUUUUUUAUUUGGAAUAUUUUUAUUCUCCGCAACAUUUGUAUAAUAAAAAAAGCUGUCAUGAUAAAAAA